rnacentral:lncRNA from 1 species
GUAUGGAGCCAUCAGAAUGAGGCUUAAAGCCGAGAACUUACUCUGGUUGCGGACAAGGAGGAUAAUAAUUCAUCCUUAAUGAUUGCAUCCCGUUUUCAAACAGCUCUUUCAUGUCAUUGGGAUCCAUUCUUAGAGCUUUAGCCAUUAGGUCAAGGAUUUUCAAGGUAAGAUUUUUAAGUUCCGUUAAGUAAACUUCCAAGUCAUCUCCGCAUGCAAAUAAUAAUAUAUAGUCCAGUAAUUAUCAUAAGAUAGAAUAUACUAUAUAAGAAAAGUCUAAAAUUUAAGUAUAGAACCUGAAUGGAAGAGGCAACUUGGGGAACAAGUGGGGUUUCCUCAGAUGGGUUGGGAGAGUGAACAUAGUAAAGCCGUAUCCCCAAUCAAGCUUCUGCUCUUCAGACGUAAUAAAAAGCUGCCCAAAUCCCUCAACAUCUCCUGGCUGCUGCCAAAACUUCUUUUUCUCAUCAAUUGGAAGAUUAAAGAAUUCUUGAAUCUCUGCUUUCACUUUCUCCACCAAUGAACUGCUCACUCCAUGAUUCAUCAACCGCAUAUAUGCAAAUUAAAGCAAGAUGUUCUUUCCAUAUAUACAUGGUUCAUAAAGGAAAUUUUGAAGUUCUGGAAACAAAAUGAUUUUUAUGGAAAAUGCUAAAGAAACGGAGAGCUGAUAAAAUGCUGACAAAAACAACGAUAAAUUAGUCUGUUUAAUGGGUUUACAAUCAAGUGACUAAUCCGGUACUGAUUUACUUUGUUUUUUGUAAACGUUUUGUCUAAUUUUUAUUAUCUGAAUAUCACUGCUAAAUUGUUAUGUACCUGAAAGAAACCCCAGUCUUUACAUGCAUGGUUCAUAUAGGGAACUUAAAGCUCAGGAAGUAAAAUUAUUUUUAUGGAAAAUGUAAAAACACUGAGACCUGAAAAAACGCUAACAAAAGCAAUGAUUUGCAAUCAAUUAAGUAUUUUUAUUAUAUGAAUAUCACUGCUCAAUUAUUAUGUACCUGAAAGAAACCCCACUCUUUACAUGCAUGGUCAAGCUUCUCAAGCUCUGAGUCAUCCCCAGAGAGCAACGUGUGCAUGUCAAUGACUGGAAGUUGUUGUGCUGAAGAAUCGUCGUUGCGAAUCAAGGGAUGGUCUAUCUCAGGGAGAACAUAACGUGGCGGAACAGUUGUCAGUGGCAGAUUAUUUGCCAGCUCCAGAAUCGAAGGCUCCACGAGAGAAUUCCCAAUAACUGUUGCUUUUGCCUCCAUGUUAUAUAGAUUUAGAUUAACUGAUUUCUAGCUAUUACCUUUUUGUUUUCUUCUACUCUUCUGCAGACUUAGCUAGUAUGUGUUUUGACAAGAAACUCAUAUAUAAAUAGUCCUCUAGAUGUACUGUACUGUAACUGGGUGCAGUGAAAUAUUAAUUUUAUCAUGAAAAUUCGAGAGAAUUUUGACUUUUAUUAAAGGACACAAAUCAGUGCAACAUUAACACGAUAAAAUUAAUUUUAUAAUGGAAUUAUUUACACUCUACAUUUAAUUUUGAAUAUCAUUUGAUUUUUUACACUCUAAAUUUAAUUUUGAAUAUCAUUUGAUUUUUUACACUCAGUUAAUAAAUUUUAAAAAUUAAUUUUUAUUCUAUACGUUCUUUUAUAUACCAAAACAGUCUUUUAUUUAUAUAUGAUUAUUAUCUCACCCAAUUUAAUUCUUUAUCAAAGAACUUCAUUCUAAAUAAGUCUAUUAUUGUUAACAAGAUAUUUAAGUCUCUGUUUAACAAAAUAUCACUGUGAUGUCUUUAAAUGAAAUAAUAUAUAUAUAUAUUUUUUUUUAAAAGAGAAUUUUCUCUUAUCUUUACUAGAGAGUUAUAUAUUAGAAUCCAAUUCAUGUUCUUCAUUGAUAAUCUUCAAGCAAUAGUAAUAAGCAACUGAUUUGUUUUUCUUUUUCAUUUUUUUUAAUCGGAACUUACAGUUUUAUUUUUUAUUUUUUAAAACAAAAUAAUGUUACUCGUAAAUUUCUAUUUUUUUUUUUAUUCAGCUUCUAUAGUUGGUAGCUUGUUGGGUAUUUAUGAAACUUCUAAUAUUUUAUGAGGUGUAACUGUAAUUGGAUUACUGGGUUGAGCGUGUGUUAGAUGGUGUUAAGAGUAAUAAUAUUCUAUUAACUUGAAUUGACUUGUUCUUAUUAGUAAAUUAUAUUAGGGUAACUUUUGCAAUAAUAUUUUUAUUAAAAAUUAAAGUGUUGAGAAUAAAAUUUAAAGUAUAGUGUUUAAAUUUCAUUUGUCACUGUCAACGCUCCUCUAACUAAAGCUCAGAUGAGAUCAGAAUGCGAAAGGAUUGUUAUCGACUUCGUUAGUAUUCGUAUCCACUUAGUAUUCGUAUCUUUUGCAAUAACGUUCCACCCAUAAUGUUUUGUUCAUUGAACAAUAACACUAUGGCAGACCAAAAUGGUAUGUACUGUUUGUUUGCACGCAGUACUAUCACUUCAGUCAUAUCUUAAUGUCACUAUAGUGUUUAAAUAUCAUUUGUCUCUGUCAACGCUCCCCUAACUAAAGCUCAGAUAAGAUCAGAAUGCCAAAGGAUUGUUAUCGACUUGGUUAGUAUUCGUAUCCAUCUCUUCUCGCAUUUGCGUGAUUAAUUUUUGAAUUGGUACUAAUACGACUAAAUUGGCAUUUUGAAUGAUGAAACCAGGCUGGCCACACAAAAUUGUGUACCCUAAUUAUUGAAUUGAGCAUACAGUAGUAAAAUAGAUACAGACAGGCAUACAACAAUGACAAAAUGGACAACUAUCGCUAUCAAGUUCACGUCCCCAAUCUUGAAAUUACGAAAUUUUUGGGAUUUUUUUUUUGUUGAUCGGUCCUUGUCGUUGGUAGAAAUUACGAAAUUUAAGGGGCACCCUGACUUUUUAAAAUAAUUUACAUUUGUUUUUGUUUCAUCUUGACUAAGGACUCAUUUAAGAUUUACUAUUGAGACUCUAAAGUCACUUAUAAAAGUUAAAAUUUAAUUUUGAUAAUUUUUUUAAAUCAAAAUUUUAAUUUUGAUAAUUUUUUAACUCAAAAAUUUAAUUUUGAUAAUUUUUUUUUUAAAUCACCACAAAUUUUGAAUUUAAGAAUCAAUUUUAUACUUAACAUAAUUUCGCAUAUAUUGUUACACAUUUUCAUAAAACAAAAUUAUUUUUAAUUAGUUAACAAAUAAAAUUAGAAAAUUUAAGAUCGUUAUUAUUUUGAUUUUCUUUUUUUUUUCUUCGUGCACGCUCUUUACCCCAAUUCUUCUUCUUUCUAUUUUCCAUUCCAUCAAGAAUUCUGUAAUAAUGUAAAUAUUAUUGUUUCAAGAUCAACACUUAGGUUAAUAUGUGUUUUUAAAUAUUUAAUAAAAUUUAAGGUGAAUUAUAUACGCACAUUCCAAUCUAAAACAUGGAUUUAUUAAAGUUCGGAAAAGUUAUCAAGCCAUAUAGCUUAAUAGCUUUUUGGACUUCAAUAAUGUGUGAUAAUUAGUUAUAUGAGAAUCCUAUUACUCUAUUACUUCUUUCCCUCUGCCACUUGUACCAGAAUUUUCUAAUAGAGACUGCUUAUUGCACCUAAAUGACUAACUGGUGCUGACUUAAUAAUAUAUGCCCCGUUUGGAAUUGAGGUUGAAACUCAAUAAGCAACUUAUUUUGUAAUUUGUGACAAAAAUAAUGUUUGGUAAAUUUUGUAAAAGUUGCUUAUUUAAUCAUUUUCUCCAUUUUGACAACAACUUUUAAAAGUAAGUAGAGAGUUACUUUUCAUAAGCAGCUUAUUAAAUAAACUAUCAUACCUUUUUAAAGUUCCUAUUAUAGCCUUAAUAUUUUAAUUAAAAAAAUAAUUGUCUUACUUUCUCAUACACCAUAAUAUUAAACCAUUAGAUAUCACAUUACCACCACAAUCAAAUUACCGACACAACUAUUAUAUAUUCUCUCUAGUAUUAAAGUUUUGACCUAGUAAGUUUGUAUUUUUUUUUAUAUUUUACUUUUAUUUUCUAUUAUAAGAUUAAAAAACGUAUGUAUAUAAUUAUGCAAAUUAUUUUUUUUAACUUUGAACAAUUUCACAUGAAAAUUAACCAUAACUUUUAAAAUUAAUUUUAUAACCAUGGUUUUUAAUAUUCAAUCUCUCUCUCUCUCUCUCUCUCUCUCUCUCUCUCUCUCUCUCUCUCUCUCUCUCUCUAUAUAUAUAUAUAUAUAUAUAUAUAUAUAUAUAUAUAUAUAUUAUAGUUAUGGUGUUUAUUGCAUCAAGUUUAAUACGAAUGUAAUACAUACUACUUUUUUAUUUUAUCUUAGUUAUGUAUUAGUAUGAAUUUUAAUCAUAUUUUUUAUAUAACAAAUUUAUAGAGUUCUUUUUUCACUUUAUGCAAUUUUACUUGUUUUAAAGAGAAAAAGGCAUGUCUAAACAUUAUUAAAUAUACUUAAAAAAGAAGAAGAUAAUUUAAAGUUAUAUCUAUUUUCACAACAAGAAAACAGGUAAUAGAUGACGGGAAAUAACUAUUGUAAAAGGGAGUGCAUGACAGACAGUUCAUCUGUCAUCUAUUUCACUGUCAUUAAUUUAUGACAAAAUAUUUUCCAUCAUGAAUUCAUGAUAGUAUUUUACAGUUAUAUAUACGUCACACAAUAUCUUAAUGUGAAAAAUAAUUAAAUUAAAAUUUGAAUUUAUAUAUAUUUUUGCGCUAUUUUUUUAAAUUUUUGGUGGGAAAUUAAAUUAUCAUUUGUAAAUUUAUUAUUGAAUUUUGGCUCAAAAUGUUUUAUGACAAACAUUAUGAUCAUUAUUUCCCAUCAUAAAGUCAAUUUUUUUUAAAAAAAAUUCUAUUGUGAUUAUAAUUUAUUUGUGAAUUCCUGAUUACAAAUUUAAUUAACUAAUAAAAAUGAAUAUCAUCAAAAAAACUAAAAGUAAUUAAUAUUAAUUAACCUCCAUUCAAUCCAACAAAUUAAUUUCAAAACAAAUACAUCUAGUAUUCAAUGUCGUCACCACCAAUACAUAAUAAAACAUCCCAAAUAUAAAAAAAUCUAAAAUAUAAAACAAUAGUUAAAUCCCAAUUAAACUCUAAGAAAAGCAAUUCAAAUUCUAGCCAUCAAGCCAAGUUACCCAACAAAACUUCGAAAGAUUAAUGGAAAUAUUCUAACAGUAAGACUUCCAAUAGAGAUACCAUCUUCCAGCGGCAAUAGAUAAGAAAUUUUACUACAUAUUAAGUAUUUAACAUACAUUCAAUUUGAAUUUAAAAAAAAAAUCUUUUAUUAAUAGAUAACAACUUUUUUUAUGUAUAAAUAUUAUGCUAAAUUGUAAAAAUUAAUGUUACCAAAAUUAUUUUUCAUAAAUUAUAUAUCAAUUAUUUUUCUUGUAAAUAUUUAUAACAUAUAAAAACUAUUGUACUAGAAAACACUAUGAAUACAUAUCUAUUUAAGCUAGUCAUAAGUGUAAAAAUACAAACAACUUACCACUUACACUCAGAUGCCAAAAAAUAAAAACCAAACAUAUUAUUCUAUCUUAAGCAUUCAAAGCCAUUCAAACUUCAGUAACAUUCAAACCUAUUUCAAAUUUAAAAUAAAAAGACAAACCAUGACUUAAUAUGGGGCUAUUUGAAAUCUAGAUUUUACAGUAUCACUUUAUUCUAUACACUCGUUCUCUCAUUUAAUAAAUUUAAAAAAUUGAUUUUAUUGAGCACAUUCUUUUAAAUACCAAAAUAGUCCUCCAUUUAUAUCUUACGUCUCACCCAAUUUAAUUCUUUGUUGACUAAAGAACUUUUUUCUAUGUAAUUCUAUUAUUGUUAAUGAUAUUCAAAUCUCUUGAAAAAAAAAAAUGACCCUCAUCUCUUUGAAUGAAAUAAACUUCCGUCAAAAGAGAAAUGUCUCUUAAUUUUACCAGAGAGUUAUAGACUGGAGUCAAGUUUGUAUUUCCAAUUGAUAAUUUUGAAGCAGCAGCAAUAUGCAGCUGAUUUCUUAUUAUUUUUCCUUUUUCUUUUUGGGGUUUUGCAACGUACAGUUUUAUUUUUAAUUUUUUAAAUCAAAAUAAUGUUUCUCAUUUUUUCGCAUAAAUAAAAAUUGUUUUUCAAUUGCUGUUGUUGGUAGCAUGUUGGUUAUUUAUUAAACCCUUAAUAUUUUCUUUUACGAAUGAUAAAUUAGAUUUAUUGUUAAAGAAAGUUACAGGGUUUUGUAAUUGGAUUAUUGAAUUGAAUGUGCGUUCAAUGGUGUGAAGAGUAAUCAUAUUCCAUUAACUUAAAUUGAAUUGUCUUUAUUAGUAAAUGAUAUUGGAGGAGUUUUUGUAAUAAUAUUUUUAUUAAAAAUUACAGUCUUUAAAAUAAAAUUUAGGGUACAAACAACAUCACUCUAUAAUAUUAUUAUUCAAUAAAUCAUAAUUUUGCGGCACACUAAAAUGAUGCGGAUCAUUUACGCAACCUACCAUCACUUGUAUUAUAUCCUAAUGCCAUUAUAGUGUUCAAAUAUCAUUUGUCUAUCCCAAACGUUCGUUCAAUUAAAGCUAAGGUAAGCUAAGAUUUCACAGUAGAAUAGUAUUCUUAUCCAUGUAGUGUCACAUUGUGUGCUUUAUCUUUAGAUUGGUACUAAUCCCACAAAACUGGCAUUUUGAAAUAUAAAACCAGGCUGACCACACAAACUUGUGUACACAAUUUUUUGUUUUUUUUUUCAAGUGUUACGUCGUAAAAUCGUAAAUUAAAUAUAGACAAAUAUACAACAAUGACAAUGCCUGUCAAGUUCGCGUGCCCAAUCAUAGAAGUUACGAAACUAUUGGGAUAUUUCAUAGUUGAUCGGUCCGCAUCGUUGGUAGAAAUCACGAAUUUUAGAAGGGGACCGUGACUUUUUAAACUGCAUUAUAAUUUAAGUCCUUUAAAUUUAAAUUCAUUUUCGUUUUAUCCUGGUAAUUGAAUAAGGGCUCAUUUAAGAUUACUAUUUUACUCAAAAGUAAUUUUAAAAUAUUAAAAUUUAAUUUUGUUUGGUAAUUUUCUUAAAAUUAUUGAUAACUUUAAUUUUGAGAACAAAUUUUAUACUUAAAUAAUUUUAAAUAUAUUAUUACAUAAAACAAAAAUUAUCCUUAAUUAAUUAAGAAAUAAAAUAAAAAAAAUUCAAGACCACUAUUAUUUUUAUUCGUUUUUUUUUCUUUAUGCACGAUCUCUACCCCAAUUCUUCUUCUUUUGUUUUUAUAUUCCAUCAAUAAUUCUCCAAUACUGCAAAUAUCAUUGCUGCAAGAUCAACACUUAGGUGGCGUUUGUUUUUUUGUCUGAAAUCUGAAUAGAUCUGAAUUAGUCUGAAUGUCUGAAUAUGAAUAAUAUGUUUGUUUUUUUGUCUGAAUCUCAAAAAAUAAGUAUUAAGUUGUUUGUUUUUUUCAACUUAAAAAGCUGAAAAUAUGUACUUUUACAUUUGUAUCCUUAUUAAAUUUGAAUGUCAAAUAAAUAAUAUAUUAAAUACCACAAUAUUUUAACAUUUAUAAGUAAAACUAUAUUCAAGUGAAUACAUAAUUAUUUUAGAAUUUUAAUAUAUAAAAUACCAUAAAUUUCAAAUUUUAUCGUAUAUAAUAUAAGAAAGAAAAAACAGAGAUAUUUUUAUGUGGGGUAAAUAUCUAUGGGUGAGUUUUGGGAUAGACGUGAAAAAUAAAUUAUAAAACAAGGAUAUUUUUUACAUUAGCAAGUAAUUGACUUAAUUCAAAUUUCUCCAUUAAGUAAAAACCCAAAAAAAUUAGCUUAUUUUAUUAAGUCAAAAUUAUCUAAAAAGUCUCAUUAAGUUAUAAAAACAAACACAUCUAAUUAACUUAAUUAAUUAAGUUAAGUCACUUUAAGUCAUUAAGUUAAAAAACAAACGCCACCUUAGUAUAUGUUUCACGACUUUAUUUUUUAAUUUAUCAAUAUUCAAUAAAAUUUAUUCUCAGGUGCAGACGCCCGCAUUUUUAUUAAUGCGGCCACAAUUUUAAACUGUGUGAUUUAAAAAAAAAAUAGUUUGUGAAUGAACUAUAAAACUGUGAGUUUUAAAAGAUUUAAAAACUAAUUCUUUUAAACCCUGUGGUUUUAAAGUGUAUCCGCAUGGAAAUUUCAUAAGACUUGGUGCUAGACCCAAUUCUCCAUCUAAUUUUAGGUUGUAAAAUGUAGUGAAAGAUAACCUUUCCUUCAUUAAGUUUACAGUCACACGAUGUUCAAUAUCACGAUAAGUUCCAUUGCUAAAAAUCUACAGGAUCAUAAAUUGAACCUAAAAAAAAAAAAAGUUAGAGAGUAUAAUCAAGAGGAGGAAAAAAUUAGAUGAAACUAGUCAUCAACUACAUAUCCUAUGCUAACAGCUUAGUUUUUAUUGCAAGCGACGUGUCACCAAUUAUUUCUUAUUAUAGAUUUGCUGUUAGUAGACUUUAUUUUCUAUUAUUAAUACAAAUUAUACAAAGAUUCUACUCUACUUACCAAUAAAAGACAUGUUAGAUGUCACUUAACAUUACUAGAGAUAGAAACUAUGUAGAGACAUAGCGUUACUUAUAAUAGGCUAUAGAAAAUGACCAGUGUUACCUCUAAAACGUCACCAAUGUUGAAUAUAAAGGCAUCAGGAAGGGGUUUAACAGCAACCCAUUUUCCAUCUUUCUUAAUUUGGAGAUCAUCCAUCUCAUUGAUUUGGAGGAGGAUGGUGAGUACGGAGCCAUCAGAAUGAGGCUUAAAGCCAGGAACUUGCUCUGGUUGCGGACAAGGAGGAUAAUAAUUCAUCCUUAAUGAUUGCAUCCCGUUUUCAGACAACUCUAUCAUGUCAUUGGGAUCCAUUCUUAGAGCUUUAGCCAUUAGGUCAAGGAUUUUCAAGGUAAGAUUUUUAAGUUCCGUUAAGUAAACUUCCAAGUCAUCUCUGCAUGCAAAUAACGAUAUAUAGUCCAGUAAUUAUCAUAUGAUAGAAUAUACUAUGUAGCAAAACUCUACGAUUUAAAUAUAGAACCUGAAUGGGAGAGGCAACUUGGGGAACAAGUGGGGUUUCCUCAGAUGGGUUGGGAGAGUGAACAUAGUAAAGCCGUAUCCCCAAUCAAGCUUCUGCUCCUCAGACGUAAUAAAAAGCUGCCCAAAUCCCUCAAUAUCCCCUGGCUGCUGCCAAAAUUUCUUUUUCUCAUCAAUUGGAAGAUUAAAGAAGUCUUGAAUCCUUCUUUCACUUUCUCCACCAAUGAACUGCUCACUCCAUGAUUCAUCAACUGCAUAUAUGCAGAUUAAAACAAGCUGUUCUUUCCAUACAUGGUUCUUAUAGGAAACUUAAAGCUCAGGAAAUAAAAUGAUUUUUAUGGAAAAUGCUAAAAACACCGAGAGCCGAAAGAACGCUAACAAAAGCAAUGAUUCAAGUAUUUUUAUUAUCUGAAUAUCACUGCUCAAUUAUUAUGUACCUGAAAGAAACCCCAGUCUUUACAUGCAUGCUCAAGCUUCUCAAGCUCUGAGUCAUCCCCAGAGAGCAGCCUGUGCAUGUCAAUGACUGGAAGUUGUCGUGUUGAAGAAUCGUCGUUGCGAAUCAGGGGAUGGUCUAUCUCAGCGCGAACAUAACGUGGAGGAACUGUGAUCAGUGGCUGAUUAUUUGCCAGCUCCAGAAUCGAAGGCUCCACCAGAGAACUCCCAAUAACUGUUGCUUUGGUCCCCAUAUUAUAUAGAUUUAGAUUAACUGAUUUCUAGCUAUUACCUUUUUGUUUCUUUUCUCUGCUGUAGACUCAGCUGGUCUGUGUUUUAACGAGAAAUUCAUGUAUAAAUAAUCCUCAGGAUGUACUGUACUGUAAUUGUGUGCUUUAAAAUAUCAAUUUUAAUAUGAAAAUUCGAGAGAAUUUUGACUUUUAUAAGGACACUGAUUAGUGCAACAUUAAGACGAUAAAGAUAAUCUUAGAAUGAAUUAUUUGCACUCUACAUUUAAUUUUGAAUAUCAUUUGAUUUUUACACUCAUUUAAUAAAUUUUAAAAUUAAUUUUUAUUCUAUACUCUUUUAUGUAUCAAAACAGUCUUUUGUUUAUAUCUUAUUAUAUCUCACCCAAUUUAAUUCUUUAUCACAGAACUUCAUUCUAUAUAAUUCUAUUUUUGUUAAAGUGAUAUUUAAGCCUCUCUUUAACAAAAUAUCACUAUGAUACCUUUAAAUGAAAUAGUAUUUUUUUUAAAAAGAGAAUUUUCUCUUAUCUUUACUAGAGAGUUAUGUGCUAGAAUCCAAUUCAUGCUCUUAAUUGAUAAUCUUCAAGCAAUAGAAUAUGCAACUGAUUUGUUUUUAUUUUUCAUUUUUUCAAUUGGGAACUUACAGUCUUAUUUUUUAUUUUCAAAACCAAACAAUGUUACUCGUAAAUUUUUUUUAUCCAGUUUCUAGAGUUGGUAGCUUGUUGGGUAUUUAUGAAACCUUUAAUAUUUUAUGAGGUGUAACAGUAAUAGGAUUAAUAUUUUCACUUCCUUUCUUCACCCUACAAACAGCAAAGUAUGCAAUGAAUGUUUAAAGUUAACAAUCUGUAAAGUCUGGUCUAAACUUUGCUCUAAUUAAAUAUCAUAAUAAAUUAUAAAGAGAGGUUAGAUUAGAAGAUCUCCAACAGCUAGAUUCAAAGAGAUUCUUCAUUACAUUAUUUUAUAAUCAUUUUUUCGAAAAUGUCAUUCCUGUUAUAACAGAGGUAGAGAAACAAAUUGAGAGGGCCUUUCAAUUCCAUUUUCAAGGCGAAAAAUGCAAUGUUAUGUUUCGUUUCUUUUGUUAAUCUAAUCCACUUUCUAUCAAGCAUUUAUUAUUAUUUUUAUUUUUUUGGCUUUUGUUGAGUGUUUUUGUUCUACGAUGGCAAUUUGGGAGAUUAUAAUUGAGAAACAUUUUUAAUAUUUGAAAGAAACCCACGGCUGCACUGAUAAUGAACCCACAGAGAUUAUCAAAGAGUCCCUUUUCGUUUUUAAAGCAGAUUUUUAAAGUUUUAUACGGUGGAGUGUAUGAGAAGAGGAUAAAAAUUGUCAUAAGAGUAAAGUGAGGAUUAGACGGGAUAAAUUGAGUGAUAAAAAAAUUAUUUAAAAAUUUUUAGUGGGGUGUAUUGAGAAGUGGAGGAUGAUGUGGAGAAAUGAGAGUGAAAUAUCCACUAUAACUAUGCUUCAUGAGUAACGAAAUGUUAUAUUCAUUUAGUUAGGAUUCUUAAUUGGUGUACUAAUUAAUGUGUCACCAAUAUAAAUUUAUCAUUUAGAUAUGAAAUGAUAAGACUGAGUAGUUAAGUUCACUUGAACCAAUCAAAUAAUACAACAUAAUCACUUACACAUCUGUUGGUAUACAUAUUAAAUAUCUCAACGAAGUAAAAUUAUUAUUAUAGCAAAUAGAUCUUAAAUAUUAGAAGAAGCUUAUAAUGAAACUGACUCUGAGCCCACUGUCACCUAACCCGUGCAUCCCAGCUACUCUUACGCCUGUAAAUAUUACAAUACUUGGGUUGGGUUGUGCAAUAAUGAAAUUGAUUUUGAUCAAUCACCAUAAAUAGCUGAUUGUAAAUAUUGUGUAAUUAGUUUGAAGUGUGUCACAACAGAAUUAAUGUAGGUUGAUCUCAAUAAAAAUUUAAUUGUAAAUAUAUGAGUGGUGCUCUAAUUAUGAUGUAUAUAUCAAAUGAUAUAAGUAGAGGUCUGAUUGUAAUACUUUCAACGUGAUAUUUAAUUUGACUUGGUUCAACUAUAGCCUUUUCGCUUUCAAUCGAAAACAAAAUAUAAUAAACCCUAAUGUUGUGUUUACUUGCUGGAGUGGGAGUGAGGAGUGUGGAUUCCUCCCACUCCAGCGUUUACUUACUUAAAAUGGAGAGGGAUUGGGAGUCCAACUCCGUGGGCCCCACCCACUUUUGGAGUGGGGAGUGGGAGUGGGAAUCCACUCCCACCUCUCCAAUUUCUACCUUUUUUUUUUAUUUUAUGUUUUAUAAUUAAUAAAAUAAAAUAAAUAAUAUUAUAUUUAUUUAAAUAAUAAUAUUAUAUUUAACUAAAUAAUAAUUUACAUUGAUUCUAAGUUAAAAUUAUUUUAAAAUAAUAUUAUUAUAUUAAUAGAGAAUUAAUAAAUAUAAUAUUAUUAUUUAUUUUAAAAAUAAUAGUACUAUAUUUAUUUAAUAAUAAUAAUAAAUACUUUAUUCUAAGAAAAUAUUAAUUUUGUACUAAAUAAUAUUAUAUUAUUAUUUUAUAUAAUAAUAAAUUUAAUAUAAUUAUAUUAAAUAAAAUAAAAUAACAUUUCAUUUUAUAUUAAAAUUACAAUUAAUAAUUUAUUGUUCAUAAUUAAGAAUAUUAAUAAUUAUAAUAAAUUUACAAAUAUAAUAAAAUAAAUAUUAUUCAUUAAAUAUAUUUUUUAUUAGUUUUGUAAUUAAAAAUUAUAAUUCUUUAAAUAAGGAUAAAAUUGUAAUUUGAAACUAUUUACUUCCAAUCCAAGACAAAGUAAACACAUAAAUUGAAUUCUGAUCUCCAUUCCAUGCUUCCAUUCUAGUGUAAGUAAACAACCUACUCCCACUCCCACUCCACACUCCCAAUCCUAGGAUUCCCACUCCCUAGGAUUCCCAAUCCAAUCCAAAAAGUAAACGCUACCUAAAAACCGUCGUUGAUUACAAUUACAAAUUUACCCCCAUAACUGACAGUCAUUGAUUGCUUCUUUCCCAAGAAACCUUUGGAUAUAUAUUUUAUAACAAUCGGCUAUCACUUUCUUCUUCCAUGUACAAUAUCUCAGUAGGCUGCACUGAUGUUACGGUUGGGUGCUAUUUUGCACAGGAUUAAGAAAACCCAAUUUAGUCAUGCAAACUUAUUGGGAGCUUCCCGGCUGUCAACAACAACAACACGAGACCAAACAACAAGUGCUUUUUGGGGUUCAACGGAAAAGAUCUCCCCAGUCGGACUGUCGGAAGCCCGGCAGUCUGGGUGUUUGAGGAGCUCGAUGAAAUGGCUAAAAUGGGAGAAGACGUAGGCAAAGAUGACAUUGAGUUCAAUAUGGAUCUGUUGCUAAACAAAGCAUGUUACUUGGAUGCUCUCGAGGUAUUUAUUAAAUCAUCAGAUUUCAUUUUUUUUUUUUUUUCCAUUUGGGUUAUCAAUUGCAUCAGUCUUUACUUCUCUGUGUUUUAAUGAUUUUGCAUUAUGGAAUUGGAAUCAAAUGUUAUUUUAUAUAUUUUCACCUUUUAUAAACAUAACCGAAAUCAGCUGAUAUUAAAUUGGGUGCUUGGUGUAUUUUUCAAAGGAUCCUUCAAACACGACAUCAUUUCACAGCACGCACAGAUGUGUGAUUUUAGUUGUAAUAUUUUAUUGCUUUUGUUUUCUAAGACUUGCUCGUUAUCUUGGGUACCUAUAUUAAUCAAGAAAAUUGACUGGCUGGUAAAAUAGUUUUGAUGUUCUGCCAAAUUUAGCUUCCUUGAAAGCAUAAGAAAUUUGAGCUAUUAUUGAUAAUUGAUUUUUUUUUUUAAUUAUCUUGUUGCAAAACUUGUUUGGUAUUGUUUGUCAGUUUAGCAUGCUUUUGUCGUCGCAUUUUAUUUUUUGCAAUCCUUUUAUUAUAAUCUCUCUUUUCUCCAGAUACCGAUGUGGAACAAAAGAUACUUUGAACUUACAACUGGUGAUAUUGCUGUUCGACUGGUUUUGAUUUUCCAUUAUAAGGGAAUAGAAGAGCAGAAAUUUUUUUCAGUAACAUUCCAGAAAACUUAAGGGCUCUCGAGGUUUAUAUUGCUUUGCUUUAUUGCUAUGCCAAACUAGAUUCUGUGUACAAAUCAGAGUCUGUGAAGAAAGCGGAAGCCAUCAUGCAGACAUUAAGGGAUUUGGGGUUAGACAGGGAAACAAUGGCUUACGAUUGUAUGCUUAAUCUUUACUAUCAGACUGGAAAACUUGAGAAAAUUGAAGUAUGGUGCUGGAAAUUGAAGAAAAGGGUAUUGGUUACAACGAUUAUACAUUCUACAUCCGUCUGAGUGCAUAUGCAGCUGUUUCUGAUUGCAAGGGAAUUAAGAAGAUGGUGACAAUGAUGGAAUCGGAUCCCAAUUUUGUUGUAGACUUGUCAGUUUAUGCUAUUGCAGCAAGUGGGUAUGCAAGAGCUGGGCUUCUGGACAAGACUCAUGCAAUGCUAAAGAAAUGUGAGGGACUGGCAACGGGUGGACAAGACAGAUACCCACCGUAUGAUUUUCUUAUCUCAAAGUAUGCGGAAUUUGGGAAUAAAGACGAUGUUUUAAGAGUUUGGGAAUUCUGCAAAAAGAACUCGAGCGGUUGGAAGGUGGCAGGCUCCGUCAUUCCUUCUGUGCUGAAAUUUGACGACCUGGAAAUUUCUGAGACGAUUUUGGAGGAAGUGAAUUGGCCCAAGGGGAAUCCACAUUAUUGUAUCCAUGUUAUAAAUCCCUUGAUUGCUGCAUAUUGCAGAAAAGGUCUUUUAGGGAAGGCUGAAGCUAUUAUCAACAAUGCACAAUCAAGGGGGCUGAACCCUGAUGUGAGGACGUGGUAUCUUAUGGCAACGGGGUAUCUUCAGAAUGAUCAAACAGAAAAGGCAAUGGAAGCGAUGAAGAAAUCAAUUUGUGAAACUGGAAUCGGGUGGAUUCCAUCUAAGGAAUGUUUGGCCGUGUUUCUGAAAUGGUUUGAAGCUGGAAAAGAUACUGAGGAGGCAGAGCAUUUGGCAAACUUAGAAGGGGACUUUUUUGUUAGUUUGGAUCUUUCUUACGAUUUGUUGAAUUAUUUUCAACAUGGCUACGUAGACAAAAUACCCCUGGAGUUCCUGGUUUCGUCGUGGUAAAUAAUACUCCAAUCUUUUAAAUUGACUUUGGAAUUGGGAAUCUUCCCUACAAGUGUGAUUGAUUUUGUUGCCUCUGCAUACAUUUGAAAAAUCUUAAAUAUUGUGGUUUUUCGCUUCCUAUAAGUUUCGGUUGAGAUUUUUAAAAUGGUUGAACUGCUAAAAACAGCUUAAUAAUUAUUUUACAUAAGUACCACAUUGGCCCUUGGCCAUCAACAAUGCUAUCGACAAAAACGGAUUCAUAACUCUAUGUUUCCACGUCAGCGUGGUUGCAAAAGUAACGUGUAUUUUGUAGUUUGAUUAUGUCCAACUUGGGGAUAACAAAACUCAGCCAUUUGAUCGGUGGCUUUAUAUGAACGGUCAAAAUUUUGAAACCAAAUAUCUUCUUUGUGGUCGAAGGCCAGUCGAACAUCGUACGUUACUGGGAGGACGGUGAGAUAUUUUGCAUCCAACGGUCAGCAAAUACGCUCCUAGACACUUUUACUCUUAUCUGAACGGCAGAAAUUUUGAUAGAAAUAACGAAAUUUAAAGGGGGACCCUGACUUUUUUUUUUUUACGAGAGGACCUGACUUUUUAAAAUAAUUUAAAUUUAUUUUUGUUUCAUCUUGACUGAGGACUCAUUUAAGAUUACUAUUAAGACUUCAAAGUAAUUUAAGAAGUAAAAACUUAAUUUUGGUAAUUUUCUUUUUGAAAUCACUCGUGACAAAAUUUGAUUUUGAGCAUCAAAUAAAAUUUAAAUUUUAAUAUGCAUAAUUAAUUUUGGUAAUUUACUAUAUCGUUACAUAUUUUACAUAAGACCAACAUUAUCCUUAAUUAAUUAACAAAUAAAAUCAGAAAGUUUAAGAUUAUUAUCAUUUUGAUUUUUUUUCAUGCACGCUCUUUAUCCCAAUUCUUUUUCUCUCUAUUUUCCAUUCCAUCAAUAAUUCUCUAAUAGUGCAAAUAUCAUUGUUUCAAGAUAGGGUUAAUAUGUGUUUUUUAAUAUUUAAUAAAAUUUAAGGUGAAUUAUAUAUAUUCCAAUCUAGAAUCCUAGAUUUGUUAAAGUCUGGAAAUACUAUUAAGCCAUAUAGUUUAAUAGUGUAUGAUAUAAUACUAUUAAAGCAUAUAUCUUAAUAACUUUUUGGUACUUUAAUAAAGUAUAGAAUCCUGGACUAUUUGUUGAAGUAAAUUUCACUUAACAUUAUGUCUAUUUUAGUCACUUGUACUCUAACAAUAAUUUAAUAAUAAGAUUUAAUAUGUAUAAUUAAUUUUAAUACUCCCAACACUUUUAGAAAUAAAAUUUACUGAACAUUUAGUUGAUUUUGUUCACAAUUGAUUAGGUCCACUACAAAUCUAAUAGAAAUUAUUUUAAAAGCUACAACAUUACAAAACUAGUCCUAAAUUUCGUUGUUAAAUAUAUUAGUACGACAAGUCCACAAGGGCAUUUUAGUCAAACUCAAAUGAACCAUCUUCUUAUAUUAUCAAUAUGACAUGCGCUAGGAGUUUAAGCAUACCAUUCUUAGUGUUAACUACUCAAAGGGAAAUCUACAUUAAGGUAACUACUAAGUUACAUUAUAUGUAAUUUGUAGUUGACCUAAAAGUAGUGUCCUAUAACCUUAGUUGUGUGACAAGUAACAAUUGAGUCAUAAAAAUUAAAAAAAAAAAAAAAAUUUGGUCGAUAUACGUUACAUAUGAUAUAACUUAGCAAGACCCGUUAUAUAUAUUUACCGUAUAUUUACGCAACGGAAUAUUUUUUUAGGUGAUCGAUGUUUGUUGAUAUACAUUGUCAAUGCGGCUUCAUCUUUGGAUUCUUCUUGGAGAACUAAAGCCUGAGAGAAUCCCUAGCUGAAAAUAACAAGAGAAGAUCCGCAAAUAAGGGAGAGAGUUUUAGCCAAGAUUGCGGACUCAGUUGAUGAUAAUGAUGAUCUUUAUGAGAAAUUAAAAGUUGAGGCUUAAUGGCUUAUUGAUAAUUUGAUAUCUUUUAUAGGUUAAUAUGAUGUUUCUAGCUAUGCAAGCAUUUGUAUGAAGUUGGAUUUUUAUAUUCAUAUACUUUGAUACGAUAUUUAGUUAAUUGGUACUUCUUUAAUAAUGUAAAUUUUACUUUACCUUAUUCAGUUUUCAUAUACUUUAAGAUGAUAUUUAGUUAAGGGAGAUUAUCAAUUUCCCCACUACUGUAAUUAAUAUAUACAAUUUAUUUCCCUGUUGUAUUUAUAAUAACUAGUAACUCCCAUAACAACAUAAGUUUACAAUAUUACGUCUAUUUUAAAAUAUACUUUUAUUUAUAUUUAUUAUAAAUUAAAUAAAUGAUAUGAAUAGAAAAUAAAUAAAAAAAUUAAAUAUUAAAAACAAGAAAUAUAUGCUUUGAUGUGAACAAAAAAAUUAAUAAUAAAAUUUUUUCUUGUACUUUUUUAUUUUGUAAAUAUUUUCUUAUAAUAAAUAUUUUAUAAUAUUUUAAAAUUAAAUAUAAAAAAGUAUCGGAAAAUAUUUUAUUAUUUAUUUUAUAAUAAUAAUUUAUUAAUUAUUCAAGUUUUCUUAUAACAAUUUUUUUUAUCAUUUUAUAAUAAUUUUCUUAUAUAUUUAUUAUAAGAAAAUGUUUAUAAAAUAAAAAAAAAGUAUAAGAAAAAUAUUUUAUUAUUAAUUUUUUUCACAUGAAAACAUAUAUUUCUUAUUUUUUAAACUUAAUUUUUUUAUUUUAAUUUCCAUUCACAUGAUUUAUUUAAUCUAUAAUAAAUAUGAAUAAAAGUGUAUUUAAAAACAAGGGUAAUAUUGUAAACUUAUAUUGUUGAGGGAUUAUUGGCUAUUAUAAAAAUAUGAGGGCGCAAAUCAUAAAUAUUAAUUACAGUAGGGGAGGAAUUGACAAUCUUCCUUUAGUUAAUUAAGGGGUGGGGAUAUUUCCACCCAAUUAUUUGCCUAAACCCCCUUCACUUCUACAAAAUAUUUGCAAUAAAUACACAUUUUUUUUCUAAUAAAUACAAAUCAACAAAAAAAUAUAUAUAAUUAAUCAAUUAAAUCAUUCUUAUAUUUUUUUACUUAGUUUUUUAAAACUAUUAAAGUAAGUAAAAAAAUAUAAUAUAAGUUCCAUUUAAUUAUUUUGCUUUAUGACAUAAAAUGACCCACUUGUCCAAAAAAAUAUGUGUUCUUGUAUCUAAUACUUUAGGUACUUAGUUUUUUGACUUUUAAUCUAACUUCUUGUUAGAGUGCAAUUUAUGCACUAGUUUUGCAUUGUUUACUUCCUUUAAUAUCGAUGUUUUGCACUUAAUAAUAGUGAUUUACUUGUAUUUUAUUUUUGUAGGUGCAAUUAUAUUGAUUGGUGCUAAAAUUGAGCUACAAGAUGAUGUUUGGGGAUGAUUGUUUUCCUGGAGAAAUUAUGAGCUUCAGAAGAACUUUGUUGAUAAGGUGUGGGGGUGUGCUGUCAACUACGGACCUGCAGUUUUUAGUUUAACGUGUUUUGUCUUUUUGGUUAAUUUUGUACUUUUGAAUUUAAUAUUUAGAUAAUAUUUUAGAUGUUAGUAUUUUAUUUUUAGAAAAACUCUAUAAGAGGAAGGAGACGUGAAAAACAAGAGAGGAGGGGACUUUGGAAAGAGGAAGAAGAAAGAAACCCUAGAUCUAAAUUUUUCUCUUCUCUCUAUGAAGAACUAAACCUAUUAUUCUGGUUGAAGGUUAAUGAAGCUUUGAUUCAUCAUUAUUGUGAGAUCUUUCUUAUGCUUUAAUUGUUUUAUUACUUUUUGGGUAUUUGUUUAUUCUCAAAAUUAUUGUCAUGAUUAUGUUUGUUAAUUAGAUAAUAUGCCACUAUUUAAUUAUCAACUUAAUAUAUUGUCAAUUAUAGGAUUCAUCGUAUGAAGAUUUCAAUGUUUGUGACAAAUAACAUAGCAGUGCGUUGUGUUAUGAGAAUAAACAAUCUAAUUUAAAUGAACCAUCGUAUGCGUUUGUUGAUUAGGAUUUGGGUCUCUCUGGUUUUUCAGGCUGUAAAUUGAUUAAAUCCUAUGAUCGUAUCUAGGGUUAUCUAUUGAUUAGGGAAAUAACCAAUGGUCGUACCUUGGUUAUCGACUAGUUAAGGAGAGAUUGGCUAUUAGAGGGUCUCAGUAGCUACAACCGGUCUAUUCAUAAGUAGUAAUGAUUUAUAUUUGAAUCAAUGAUCAGUAGUCGAAUCAAGCUGAGUUAAUUCCUUCAACCAGAGCUUUUCCCAAUUUGAAUUACAAUUUUAAUUUGCAUUCUUGUUAUUUUUAUUUGAUUUUUAUUAUUGUCAACAAUCCCCCCAUUUUGCAAUUUACAUUUUAAAAAGGAUUUAAAUAAUUACCGAUCUCUGUGGACACGACUCUUCUCAAUCCCUAUACACAAUUUAUUUAGAGUAGGUAUUUAUUUUUACUAGCUUCGACAACCAUCACUUCUUAAAUGACGUCUAAUAAUUUUCAAUAUUUUACAUGUAAAUGACAUAAAUUUGACAGGCUAAUAAUUUAAUGAGAAUUUUCUCAUAAGAACAUUAUGUUAGUUUAAUUAAAAAUUAAUAAUCAUAUUAAUAAAGUAAAAUUAACUAUUUAGAAACAAUGAAUUUUGUAUGAAAUUAAGAAAUUGUUGAAGCUAAAUUAAAUUUUUGGUAUUUUUACCCUUUAAGCGUAAAAUAGUCAAUUUAAAUUUAGGUUAAAGCAGUCUUAUUAGUCAAAUAUAAUAAAAAAAUCUAAGUCACAACAAAAUAAAUUUAAAUAGAUUUAAUUAAUUAAUUCUUCUGAAUUCUUUUUUAUUUGAAAUUUUUAAAAAUAAUGAGAAUUUUUUGUAAUUAUUUUUUAAAAGUGGGGUGGAUUUGCAGAAUUUGUGGGGUGGAAAUAUCACCACCCUUAAUUAAAUACUUCUUUAAUAAUAUAAAUUUCACUUUACCUCAUUCAAUUUUGUUCUCCUAAAGAUAGGUUUUUAUUCUCAUAUUUGAAGUAAAAAUUUAAUUUUUCGAGAAACCUCGAUAGAGAGGGCAAUUUUUUCGGAUAUAAAAGAAACAGUUGCAUCAAUUCAGGAGAGCACAUAGUGAGGCUUACCUCUUCAAAACUGAAAUAAUCUCUAACUUGAAAGACCAUCUAACUUCUUUGGAAGGAUGUUUGUACCUUUGAAGGCACCACAUGCCAUCCAGUAAACCUGGAGUACUCAUGAUCAAGAUUUGCUGGAUGAUCCAUAACACCCUUUUGUUAUCUAAAAGUACAACAGAAAAGGAAAUUCAUUGCCUUUAGAAAGAUGGCGACAAUUAAGCCAUCUAUUUCGAAUACCAUUUUAUUAAUGAAGAUAUUAUGAAUAUCUUGAUAAUAGUAUAAAGUUCAAAUCGCUCAAAACGGUUUAAACCGGUAGAGUGGGGCUCGUUAAAGCUAUUUUCCGCAGUCCUUUGCUCUAUAGCAUCUAGAUUUAUUUAUGGCCUAAAUCUUUGAUCAAACAGCUUCAUACCUGGUCUCGGAAAUUCAUUUCUUGUGAUUACAGUUCUCGGAAGAUAGCGUUAGUUCAUUGCGAUCAGUUUUGUUUGUUAAAGGCAGUGGGUGGUCUUGGACUUCGUCGUCUAGAUAUUUUAAAUAGAUCAUGCAUGCCUGUAAAAGAUUUUAUGCAAUGUUAAAAAUCAUUCUUCUAUGUAUGCUGACUAUCUUAAAGCUUGUUACAAACUUAUUAUACACCAAUCGGUUUUUUGUUAAUUCCUCUUAAUAGGCUGGUCUCUUAAAGUGUUAUUGCUGAUGGCUUCUUUAUUCAUUUUUUGGAUUGACAGAUGGUUGUCGGAUCCUCUUCCUCCUAUUAGUUAAAGCUUGUUACAAACUUAUUAUACAGCCAAUCGGUUUUUUGUUAAUUCCUCUUAAUAGGCUGGUCUCUUAAAGUGUUGUUGCUGAUGGCUUCUUUAUUCAUUUUUUGGAUUGACAGAUGGUUGUCGGAUCCUCUUCCUCCUAUUAGUUAUUUUAUUGACCUUGCUUUGUCUUGUACUAAAGUCUCCAGAUUAAUGAUUUAUGGGAGUUUAUUUUUCAAUAUCAGAUUAAUUAGUCCUCAACUUUAUAAUAUUUGGGUCACCACCAGUUAUUACCUGCUUUAUUUGAUUUGGAAAGACAGAAAUAAGCUGAGAUUUGAGAAUGUCUAUCCUUCUGUAGAUCGUUUUACGGCCAAAUGUUCUGCCCGUAUUAUUAUUUUGCUAAACUUUGCCCAGGUUAUGUUGGUUAUGCCAUAUUAUUAUUCUGCCAAACUUUAUCGAGGCUGUUGAAAGUCAAAUAAUCGCUCGCCAAUUUCAAAAAGCAAAAUCGGCGGCAUGUUUUUGUUGACAUAUGCAUGGAGAAAAAUGUGGUGGUUUUUCUAGAUGCCGCUUGAAUUUGUCAAAAUUGUUGAUUUUGGUUGCCGUUUUUCAAAGCUUUUGGGGACAAAGGAAUUAAAUGCAUGCAUGAUCUUUGGCUAUAAAUACCAAGCCAUUUGUUCAUUUGAAGGCAUCCACAUUUUGAGAGCAAUUGCAAGUAAAUCAAUUUGAGAGAUUUGAGAGAUUUGAGAGAGCUAUUACUUAAGUGUUCUAGUGAGGAUCCAAAUGGGUGUAUUGAGGUUUCCGGCUUCGAGAGCUUUUUUCUCAAUUUUGUAAAUUCCCAUUUAUUACUGAAAUUAGCUUUAAUCUUUGCCCGUGAAUGUAGAUUUUAUGCCGAACCACAUAAAUUAUUGUAUUUAAUUUAUUUUUUUGCAUUUUCUUAUUACCAUAUUUAUAUUUCUGCAGAAGUCACAGUCACCAUAAUAUUGAUAAUUGCUCAACCCGCGCUUCCGCAAAAAUUGGUAUUAGAGCCAAAGGUUCAUACUUGGGGUAUACUACACUGUUCACGUAAAUAGUAUUAUUUGUAGAUAUGGUACUAUUCACGCAUACGAUGGAGACGACGAUUUGUACUUGGGAGACAGUCUAUUUAUGAAUAGCUACUGACGGCAUUGGUCAUUUAGGUUAAGAAAGAUGAUAGAGACAUCAUUGUUGUCUUCAUCAGCGAUGACUACUGUGACUAAUGCAAAGUUUGAAGUGGACAAAUUCAAUAGUACUAAUAAUUUUGGUAUGCAGCAAUAUGAGGUGAUGGAUCUCUUAUGUUAGAAAGAGUUGGAGCUUACUCUUAAAGAAAAGACUGAGAAGAUAAAUCACAAGGAGUGGACAAAAAUCAAUAGAUAGUGGACAAAAAUCAAUAGAUAGGUAUGUGGUACUAUUCACUUAUGUCUAGUUAAAGAUCAUAAAUACUUUGUCAUGAGUGAGACAUCAGUAAAGAAAUUGUGGGAAAACAUUGGAAGAAAAAUAUAUAAAGAAAAGCCAUGAAAACAUGCUUUAUAUGAAGAAAAAACUCUCAAAACCAAAAACCUAAUACACCGAAUUGGAUCCUCACUUGAACAUUCAAGUAUAAACUCUCUCAAAUGUCUAAUAUUGCUUCACUUGUAGUUUAUCUCAAAAUGUGGAUGCCUUCAAAUGAACAAAUGUUUGUCAAAAUGGUCUUUAGCGAUAAAUACCAAGCCAUUUGGUCAUUUGAAGGCAUUCACAUUUUGAGAGCAAUUGCAAGUAAAGUAAUUUGAGAGAUUUGAAAGAGUUUCAACCUACGUGUUCUAGUCAAGAUCUAAUUGGGUGUAUUGGGAUUUUGAGUUUUGAGAUUUUUUUUUUCUAAUUUUGUUAAUUCGCAUUUAUUAGCUCAUGAAAUUAUCUUCUAGUCUUUGCUCUUGGACGUAGGCUUUACGUCAAAACAAGUAAAUUAUUGUGUUCAAAUUUUUCUUUUUAUUUGUUUAUUACCACAUUUAUAUUUAUAUAAAAGUUGCAAUCACCGUAAUGUUGAUAAUUGCUAAACCUGCACUUCCCUAACAGAGGUUAUGAUAGUUAUGGGUGGAACAUGAACAAAUUUUUGCUUAGUACAAGAUUAGAUCAUGAGAAAAUCUUAUAUAGGACAUACAUAUCCUCAAGUUCCUUAGCAUCCCAUCUUAUAUAGGACAUAGAUAAGAUCAUGAGAAAAUCUUAUAUAAGAAAAAUGUUAAACAAACUGAACGUUCACAGAAGAAUCACAGAUUUAAUUAACAAAGUAAUCCUGCACAGUUUUAUAGUUAAUUUGGUCAUCAUUUAAUAUCAGUGCUCUGAAGGGAAUUAAGAAAACACUAAGUUAAAGUAGAAAACAAAGGCAGUAGAAAGUGAUGAGUGCUACAUCCAAAACGUCACCAACGAUUAUGAUAAAAGCAUCAGGGAGGAGUUUAACGAGAACCCAAUUUCCAUCUUUCUUUAUUUGGAGGCCAUCCAUCUCAUUGAUUUGGAGGAGGAUGGUGAGUGCAGAGGCAUCAGAAUGAGAAUUCAAGCCAAUAACUUGCUCUGGUUGUUGACAAGGAGGGUCAUAAUUCAUCCUUAUUGAUUGCACACCAUUUCAAACAACUCUUUCAUCUCAUUGGGAUCCAUUCUUAGAGCUUUUUCCAUUUGGUCAAGCAUUUUCAGGGUAAGAUUUUUCACUUCCGUUAAGUAAACUUCCAAGGUAUCUCUAGCAAUGCAGCACUAUUGUAGUAUUGUUAGAUGGACGAAACGUUGCAUCAAUAAUUGGUGUGUUGUGUGGCUAAAAAUGAAAAAAGAAAAAUUGAGAGGCAGAGAAAACCUGAAUGGGAGAGGCAAUUUGGGGAACAGGUGGGGUCUUCUCGAAUGAAUUGGGAGAGUGAAUAUGGUAAAGCCGUAUCCCCAAUCAAGUUUCUGCUCCUCAGAAGCAAUGAAGAGCUGCCCAAAUCCCUCAAUAUCACCAGGUCGAUGCCAGUACUUGUUCUUUUCCUCAAUUGGAAGAUCAAAGAAGUCUUGGGUCUCAGCUUUCAUUUUCUCCACCAGUGAACUGCUCACUCCAUGAUUCACCAGCUACAUGCAAAUUAUUCAAAGCACGAUGUUGUUGUCAUAUAUGUUCCACAGAAAUUAAUUUGAAGUCAGAAAAACAUGAAGAAAUACUCAUUUAAUUCCCAUAAUUUGAGCUAAUCAUCUAGUCAGUCGAUUUCCUUUCAAAACAACAAUAAUAUGUUCACAAAAAAUAGUAUAAAAAUGGUACGUCAUACUAGAAAACCAAAAAAAAAAAAAAAUAACUAUAGGAUGAAAAAAAUUAUUACAAGACAAGAAAUUUUUUUUUAAUCUUUUGUAGUUUUUAUACUAAUUUUUGUAUUAUUUUCGAUACAUAUUUCAUUAUUUUUUCAAAAAGAUUACUUAAAACAUAUUUUUGUAGCGAUUGGAUCCGAUUUUUUAAGGAUAAAAUAAUAUUUACAUAAUUUCAAAUAAUUAAAAUUCAAAUUAAUUCAACAUUUAGGAGGUGAAAAAAAAUGAUAAUUAAAUUGAUAUCAAUGAAUCAACAAAAAUACAAUAGAGGACGUUUUAGAUGAUUUUUUUUUUUUUUUUUUGUGUUGGGGAAAAUACAAGCACUACUUGGAUAAUUUGCUAAAAUUAUGGAAAAUGACAAUAAUUAACAAAGAAGAGUACGUAUACAUGAAAGAAACCCUAUUCUUUGCAUGCAAGGUCAAGCUUCUCAAGCUCUGAAUCAUCUCUAGAGAGCAAUUUCUGCAGGUCGAUGACUGUUAGGAAAUUAGUGGGUGAAGCUGACACGCAGCUAAAAUAAAAUUGGAAGAAACUAAAGAACAAGCACAAUAGAGGACACCAGAAAUUACGUGGUUCGGUUUUUAGCCUAUGUCCACUGGCGAAAACAGAAGGAAAAUAUUUUACUAGUAAAAAAGAGUUACACGUAUUGUGGUAUUUUGUCUCACUACCCAAAACCCGAAUACACCCAAAACUCUCAAAUCACAAAUCACUCAAGAGUUUGUUAAAACUCUUAAAAUACUCUCACUUUCUCUCUAAAGAAGAAGAAAUAAAAUGGAAAAUUUGGAUGCUCUAAGCCGAUGGGGAGCUCCCCCUUUUAUAGCCAAAAUUGGCUAUUAAAAUAAUAAUAUUUUUUUCUUUUCUUCCAUUUUGAUGUGCCAACCACCAUUUGCAGCAUUUUCUUCAUUCUUCUUUCUUCUUUGUCAAAAUUUCCCUUUUUUUUCCUUUCCUUGGGCGGCAUCUACUUGGACUUCAAUUUGGGUGGUCAUUUUGAAAAAUGUUAAUGGUGCCAAACCGCCCAACCAUGACUUUGACAUUCUCCCACUUGGAGAUUAAAUUGAGAAUCAAUCAAUCUCUACACUAUUCUUUCUACUUCGCCAUAAUCAUGUUACCUACGUUUCUGCUAGGCCACAAGAGGAUCUAAUCCAGACAAACUUAUCAGUAUUUAUUGGCUUGGUCAAAACAUCUGCUAGAUUCUCCUUCAUAUGGAUUUUUUGUAAAUCCACACUUCCGUCUUCCACUACUUCUCGAACGAAGUGAUACUGAACUCCUAUGUGUUUUGUCCUGGAAUGAAAGGCUAGAUUCCUUGCAAUGUGCAAGACACUCUGACUAUCACAAAACACAGAAAUUUUCUCUUGUUUGUGCCCGAGUUCCUCCAAUAACCUUUGUAUCCAGAUAGCUUCCUUGCAAGCUUGUGUAGCCGCCAUGUACUCUGCUUCUGUUGUAGAUAAUUCCUUAACUCUUUGCAGUUUUGAAACCCAGCUUACAGCUCCUCCCGUAAGUGUUGUUGUGCAAAUUUUAAUGUACUCGCAAGUGCACGAAUCUAUUGUAGUAUAGAUCAAUGGUGACGAGUGUCGAUCCCACGAGGAGGUGGAUUUUAAUUGUGUAUAGAAUUAAUUUUGUAAAUGGGGGAUUGAAUUUGUGGUGGAAAUGAUUUGGAAUAUGCUAAAACUUAAAUUAAAAUGGCGAGAAUAAAUUCUAAAAUUGGAAUUGAAAUGGCGAGAAUAAAUUGAAGAGAAUUCUAUUGAAAUGGUGUACUUGAGUAUCUGGAUCCGUAUCAACAUGCAUCAUGGGCUAAAUAUUCCUUAUUAAUACCAAUUAAAUCAUGAGGGGGGAAUCCACACCUCAUGAACCACGCUCUAAUCAAUAUGGUGCUAAGGGCUUAUCGUGCCAAAUAAUAAUAACCUUAUACUAGAGAGCCGGUGUAACCAAGGCGGUAUCUAGACAAGAUCAGUAUUAUUUGUCGACGAUAAGUCAAAUCAUCCACAAAAAUUAGAGGGGAAGAGAAAGUAAAUUUACCAAAUCAAGCCCAUGACACAUGUUGAGACUUCACCUUCAACCCAAGUUUGAAAGAAAAUUAGCCACUCAUAAUUGAACUAGGGGCAAAAUGGAAAUUUAUUAAAAUACGAAGAAAAUACAAGAUGGAGAGGGAAUUACAGAAAAUGGAUCCCAAAAAUGGAUUCAAAGAUAUCAAAUUAGGGGGGGGAGGCCCCCUUUUUAUAGAUACAUGGAGUAAAUCAUGGCCAUCGGAUUAAAAACAGUUUGGACGCUCAGGAUUGCGCCACGUCAUCAGUCAACAGUCCACGGUUUGACCACGUGGAUGAACAGUAACACGGUUUGACCCGGAUGAACAGUACGCGGUUUGGUUGAAAAUAAUCCUGUGUGAUGCAUGCACCGUACGCGAGAUUUUUCGUCCACUGAUAUGCUGCCACGUCACCAUCAACAGUACAUAAGAAUUUUAGUCCAACAGGAUCGUGACACCUCAUCAGUCAAUGCCACAUCAUCGGUCCGUCUAUGUGAACAGUGUCGUGAACAGUAACGUAGACAGUACCGUAUACGUGAAUAGUACCGUACAUGUGAAUAGUGCCAUUUUUCCUUUUAUGCUCCUCCUAAGGUUUUCGACCAUCCUGAGUUCAAAAGUGAUGUCCGUUUUGCCGUCUGAUCUCUCCUUUAUUGUGAAAUGACUAUACUGCCCCUAAAAUACAUAAAAUACUUAAUUAAAAUAACACACACGUAAUUACAUCAUAAGAAGGUUAAAUACAUAAAAGUAAGGGUUGUUAGUAAGACUUGAAAUGUAAAAUGACGGUUUUCUCCUUUAUAAAUAUGCAUUUUCUGACACUCAACACACCCUCCAACCAGCUUAUUGCUAGUCCCUAGCAAAUAAAGCGAAAACAAAAUUCAAAUUCAAUUUUUUUUUUUUUUUUUUUUUUUUUAGAAACACUCGUGUUUAUUCAAUCAGAUUAAUGAUAGCAAUCAAAUAAAAGUAUAAGCAUUAUCUCUAGUCUAAAGCAAUAUCACACCCACAUCAACCAUCCACAUGAAUUGGCCCAGUAGACUUUGUUAUAGCUACUUUCAAGAAUGACAUGUCAAACCCCAAAAUCUCACUGGAAGUAGUGACACUCUCAUAAUGAAUGGUAAUUGAGAGAAAAUAAUGAAAAAGUGAUAUCACAUGCUCUCACCAAGAUGAAAUAAAUAUGCCCUCAGCUUAGAAAUAAUACAAUCUCAAGUCAAAUAAAAAAAAUGUUAGUCAACCCAAUUUAUUUAUUUAUUUUUUUUAUAUGCACCACUACAUCUUUUUAGCCCAUAUAACUAGCUUCUACUUCAAACUAUAGUUCCCUAAAAUCAAGAAGGACUUUUAUUAGGACGUAACGUAGGCUAGGGAUAUGACUAACAAAGAAAGGAAAUAAGGAAAACAAAGUGUAUAUUUGAGAAAAAUGCAGAAAUAUUUUUUCUUUUUUUUGAAGUUGCAAGGUGGAUUUCACCUAUUAUUGUUAUUUUAUUAUUUUGAAACAACAACUUUUGUUUUUUUUUUGUUUUGUUUUGUUUUUUUUGUUUUUUUUUGUUUUUUUUGCUUUUAUUUGGCAUAACUUCACUGAACAACAUAAUUAUUUACAUUUUCUCAAACAUAAAUAGGUGAUGGAACUUAUAAGACAUCGGGUAAUACUCCAAAUCAGAGUGGGUCAAGAUGAUAAGUUGACAAAGAAAAUAUAUAUAUUUUUUUUAAAGGCUCAAAAGGGGUAACUAUGGAUAUUUAAUAACGGGGAUGGCUAGAAAGGCUCAAACGGAUCAAAGAUGGCCUUUCCAUCGUUUUUUAGGGCUCUAAAUAAUUAUCCAUAUCUACUAGUUAGAUGGGCCUCCCAAUGUAGCAACGCACAUUUUUUUCUUUUUUUUUUUCUUUUUUUUUUUAAUUUUACCAUUUUUUUUUUAUAGGGUUAACUCAAAAGAAAUCUAGAGAUCGUGUAUAAAAUAAUAAACUGCUAAGCUGUAUAGAAAAUGGGCAAAAGGGUUACUCUCCAAGAAAAUGAUAGGCUCAACAACUCACUUGGCACUUAUUUAUGACAUGUUCGAAUUCAAGCAACUCAUAUUUGUCUCCGACAUCAACAUGUAAAGUAGCAAACAUAGCGUAACAUCACUUAAGACCAAAGAUAAUACAAAUACUAAAAUUUGAAAUUAAUCAUGUUAUCCAAUGUUAAAACAAAAAACACAAUUUUUUUUUUUUUUUACACAACAUUCUACCCCCCAACCUAUUCUAAACAUGAAAGGAAAAUAUGCAUGCAGAAAUGUGAAAAUGAUGUAGAAAAAUUAAUUAGAAAAAUAAAUUUUUUGUUUUUUAACUAAGAAGAUGCGUUUCUAGAGGCACUACACUCCAUAUUCAGCCAUCUUCGACUCAAAAAUUUGAAAAUAUAUAUUUAUAAAGGAGAAAGAGGAAGAAAACGAUUUUGUUUUUGUUUUUUUUUUUUAAACGAUGAAGAUGCGUUUCUAGAGUAACUACACUCCAUAUUCAGCCAUCUUCAACAUAAAACGUUAGCAACAGUUAGUUUCUACAACAAAAAAUCAGUAAAAACUUAACCAAGAUUCCACAAUUGUCGACUAUUCCCUCCCCCAACCAGAACGAAACAUUGUCCUCAAUGUUUUAAAGGAAAGAAGUAGAGUUUAGAAGACAUCACCUGGGUGGUGCAACACAGAAGAAUAUAUUUACAGGCGGAGAGUUAAAUCUAAUUUGUACUUCUUACUGCGGCUACUGUUACCAUCAUUAUUUGGGCGCUCCAACACAAAGGUCCAGGGGUCUGGCUCCGGUUUAUAAGCUUGUAACAGAUCAAGUAGCUCAUUAGCAGUGUGAGCACAAAUAAAAAGUUUUUUUUACAUUAGAAGGAAUGAAAUAGUUUUUUAUUGCAUGGUUAAGAAAUGCGAUAAAGCCAUCAUAAAAGUUAUUGACAUUUAACAAACCGAUAGGUUUCUGGUGGAUGUGCAGAUGGGCCCAAGAUCCUAGUGUCAUAAGUGCCUCUAGUGUUGCAAGAUCUCCUGGAAGGAAAAUAAAAGCAUCAGCAUGAUUAAGCAUUUCAGUUAUUCUUUCUUGCAUACUUGAGACGACUAACUCUUCUCCAGUUGAUGAGUCAGACGAACUGCCCAAUGGUUUUAGGACUCUUGGGAUGAUGCCUAACACUUGACUUCCUCUGAUAAAAGCUGCUUCUGAGACCAUUUUUGAUAACCCUCGGUUACCUCCUCCAUACACCAAAUGUAAUUUUCUCGCUGCUAUGCUUCGACCAAGAUCUAUGGCUGCCUCAACGAACUCUUUAUGUUUGCCAUAUGUAAAUCCAGAAAGCACACAAAUGUUCUUGAAUUGUCUAUUGGGAGUAGCUGCCAUUGUGAUACUUCUCAAAAACAAUUUGUGAGUGCUUGACAAAAGAUAAAUCACAUUUAAGAAUCUUGGUGACAAUGGAUCACUGCUGUGAAUGAGGUAACAUAUCAGUGUCAAAUAACGCGUAAAGCACGUGGCUCGCGAGUCAAAAAGGAAACAGUAAAAAGGACAAAGCAAACAGUAAUAAAAUUAUUAAAGACAAUAAUGCAAACAAUAAAACAACAGUGAAAUGAAAUAAAAUAACAGUAAAGUAAAAGGAUAUUUACACGUAGUUGCGACUGUGGCUCACAUCUUCCUCUGGUUUUACGUCCAGAAACGGCUUGAACGCCCUCUAUGGGUCGAGGAUCGGCUUCCCAUCCAGUUUUCUUAUAAACUGACAAACAUGGUCGUUUAUAGUCAGAUUCCCGAGACUAUAUCGUGCAUGCUCUUUCUGGAAUAAUGGCUCAACACUCAACACAUAUCCACUGGGAUGCGUUUCAAGAGACAAAAGGAUAUCAUCCAAUUUGCACAUUUAACACUCAACACUCAACACAUAUCUUCCCUGUUAUCAGACACCAUUCCUAAAGAACAUGGGUUUCUAUCGCAACUCAUUCUAGCACACUUAUGACAAGCAAUAGAAAUUCUUCGAGCUCGUCGUUUUCUUGCAUAAUUUCCUUUACCACAACCAGGCAUGAAUGCAAUAAAUUUUGGAGGUAACUCACCUGCCGAUCGUACUUUAGCCUCGAUUAACCAACGGAUGUCAGCAGGUAUGUUAUUCUUCAUGAGCAAUCGCAUGCGUUCGGACCGGGCUUUAUAGAUUGUAAGGAGGGCAUUCUGAGGAAGUGAAGGGAAUCGCUUGUGAAGCUUCGCUAGAAUCUCGUUUCUGUCCAUACCUUCGCCUCAGAAUAUCAGUUAUUAUGGGAAACUGAAGUUAACCGACUUGAUUGUCAUGGAGUACCGUUAUCCGCCACUUCACCGGGGUAACAAACUAAAGCACACAAACAGAAAAAUAAAUUAAAACACACAAAGAAAAUUAAAAUUGUCCUUUUAUUGAAUUUACCUCAAGCUCCAACUGGAUGUCGUAAACACUUCUCUCAAUGUCUCUGAGUUGGCGUUCUAAACCCUCAACAUAGGCUACUAACUCUGGUGGUUGUAGAGCCCAAAUACGAUGUGUUUUACAAAAUUGAAUUUGCCAUUUGAGAUGAGUUUUGACACGUUGAAGUGGUUUAAGAAUGUUCAGGAGGAACGGUCUAAGUAAGGUACUCAUGAUUAAAAAUGAUAAGAGAAAACUUAAUAGUUUAAACAAACACACUUAUGCAAAAAUAAUUUCAAUUAGCAAAAGAAUAAUAAAAAGAAAGAAAGAAAAAUUAAAUCAACGAAAAGAAAAAACAAAUCAAUUCAAAUCUGGUGGGUCACUCAAAUUUAUUUCGGUGUCUUCUCCAUGUGGUUGGUAUUCUAGAUAUAGCUUUAAUAUUUGACCAUUAACUUUAAACGUGACACCGUUCUUUGGGUCCUUAAUUUCAAUUGCCCCAUGUGGAAAAACAGUAUGAACAAUAAAGGGACCAGACCAUCGAGAGCGUAACUUACCUGGGAAUAGGUGCAAGCGAGAAUUGAAUAAAAGCACUUUCUGACCUGGAGUGAACGAUUUUCUCAUAAUUUGCUUGUCGUGAAAGACUUUCAUUCGUUGCUUGUAAAUCUUGGCAUUUUCAUAUGCGUCAUUGCGAAUUUCUUCAAGUUCUACCAGUUGUAAUCUUCUCUCUGAGCUGGCUUGCUGCAUGUCAAAGUUGAAUUUCUUGAUGGCCCAAUAUGCACGAUGCUCGAGUUCCACAGGUAGGUGGCAAGCUUUUCCAUACACUAGCCUGUAGGGUGACAUCCCAAUCGGGGUCUUGAAAGCCGUUCUAUAUGCCCAUAAUGCAUCAUCAAGUCUUAAUGACCAAUAUUUUCUGUCUGGCCUCACUGUUUUUUCUAAUAUGUGCUUUAUUUCUCGAUUGGAGAUCUCAACUUGGCCACUAGUUUGCGGAUGAUACGGGGUCGCCACUUUGUGUGUGAUUGAAUAUUUUGUCAAAAGAGCUUUGAAUGCUUUGUUACAAAAGUGGGCACCACCAUCACUGAUUAUCGCUCGAGGGAAUCCAAAGCGUGAAACAAUGUUGCUUUUCAAAAAUCCUAUCACCACAUUGUGAUCAUUGGUUCUACAUGGAAUUGCUUCUACCCAUUUCGAGACGUAGUCAACACCAACCAAUAUGUAUUGAUGGCCAAAAGAAGGGGGAAAGGGUCCCAUGAAGUCGAUACCCCAUACGUAAAAAAUCUCAACCACUAAAAUUGGAUUUAGUGGCAUCAUGUUCCUUCGUGUAAUGCUCCCCAUUCGUUGACACCUAUCACAUGAAGAACAGAAAGUGUAAGCGUCUCGAAAUAUAGUUGGCCAAUAGAAACCACAUUGUAAAACUUUAGUCGCUGUUUUCUUAGCACUGAAAUGGCCUCCACAAGCUUGUUCAUGGCAGAAUGAAAGGAUAUUCUGAAUUUCAUUUUCAGGGACACAUCGUCUAACAAUUUGGUCUGCACAAUACUUGAACAAAUAUGGGUCAUCCCAAAAGAAAUUCUUUAUUUCCGCAAAGAAUUUAGCCUUGUCUUGAUUGGUCCAAUGCUCUGAAAGUUUACUUGUAACAAGAUAAUUAACUAUAUCAGCAUACCAAGGUAAUACUUCCACAUUCAUUAAUUGUUCAUCUAGAAAUGACUCAUUCAAUGGUAAUGGUUCCAUAAUUGUAUCAAAAUGGAGGCGAGAGAGAUGGUCAGCUACAACAUUCUCUGUGCUUUUCUUAUCUUUGAAUUCCAAGUCAAAUUCCUGCAAAAGUAACACCCAACGAAUUAGUCUAGCUUUUGCAUCUUUCUUUGUGAGAAGAUAUUUAAGAGCAGCAUGAUCUGUGAAUAUAAUUAUUUUACAACUAAUGAGAUAAGAUCAAAAUUUCUCUAAUGCAAACACUACUGCUAGCAUUUAUUUUUUAGUAGUUGAAUAGUUCAACUGUGCAUCACUCAAUGUCAUACUAGCAUAGUAAAUAAUAUGGGGAAUUCGAUCAACUCUUUGUCCUAAUACUGCUCCUACUGCAUAAUCAGAUGCAUCACACAUGAGCUCAAAUGGUAAGCUCCAGUUUGGGGCCUGAAUGAUGGGUGAUGAUGUCAACAACUGCUUUAAUUUUUCAAAUGCCACAAGACAUGAAUCAUUAAAGAUAAAAGGUACAUCCUUAGCAAGUAGAUUGCAUAAGGGUCUAGAAACUUUGCUAAAAUCUUUAAUGAAACGUCUAUAGAAACCAGCAUGCCCAAGGAAAGAUCUUACUUCUCUGACUGUUUUGGGUGGAGGAAGAUUAGAAAUGAGAUCCACCUUGGCUUUGUCAACCUCAAUACCUUUGCUUGAAAUGAUGUGACCGAGAACAAUACCUUGUUUUACCAUAAAAUGGCACUUCUCCCAAUUCAAGACUAAGUUCUUCUCGGUACAUCUCUGCAGAACUAGCGUUAGAUGAUGUAAACAUUGAUCAAACGAAUCACCAAAGACAGAAAAGUCAUCCAUAAAGACUUCAAGGAAUCGUUCAACCAUAUCAGAAAAAAUGCUUAACAUACAUCGUUGAAAUGUAGCAGGUGCAUUACAUAAUCCAAAUGGCAUUCUCCUAUAUGCAAAUGUGCCAAAAGGGCAAGUGAAAGUAGUUUUCUCUUGAUCUUUUGGUGCUAUGGGAAUCUGAUUAUAUCCUGAAUAGCCAUCUAGAAAGCAAUAAAAUUCAUGGCCUGCUAAUCUAUCAAGCAUUUGAUCAAUAAAUGGUAAAGGAAAAUGGUCUUUACGUGUGACAGAAUUCAACUUUCUAUAAUCAAUGCAUACACGCCAUCCUGUAGUUACUCUAGUUGGUAUUAAUUCAUUAUCAGCAUUGGUAACUACUGUGACUCCUGACUUUUUGGGGACAACUUGUACAGGACUGACCCAUGAACUAUCAGAAAUUGGGUAAAUGAUACCUGCGUCUAAUAGCUUAAGGACUUCUGUUCUAACAACUUCUUUCAUAUUAUGAUUUAAUCGACGUUGCAUUUCCCUAGUAGAUUUAGCAUUUUCAUCAAGGUGAAUGUAAUGCAUGCAAUCUGCAGGGUUUAUACCUUUUAUGUCCGCUAUGGUCCAUCCUAAUGCUCCUUUGUGCUUUUUUAAAACAUCCAACAACUUACCUUUUUGUUCGUCAUUGAGGGAUGAUGAGAUGAUUACCGGCAGAGAACUUUCUUCCCCCAAAAAUGCAUAUUCCAAAGUGUUGGGCAAUGGUUUGAGCUCGAGUUUCGGUGGUGAUUCUGAUGAUGGGAUGAGUUUCUUCUCUAAUGGUGCUAGUUGUUCAACUCUUGACUUCCAUUUAUUAGUGUCCAUGGAUGGUGCUGAGUCAAGUAGGGCGUUGACCUCAUCAACUGAUCUGUCAAUAUCAAAAUCAAAACCAAAGUGAGUUAAGCAUGCCUGUAAAGGAUCAUCACUAAGGUUUGAAAGAAAAGUAUUAUCAACUAUUGUUUCUAUUAAAUCCACAUCAACAAUUCCAUCAUCUGCACUGUGAGGUUGUUUGGCAAUGUUGAAAAUGUUUAGCUCCAUAGUCAUGUUGCCGAAGGACAACUGCAUAUUUUCGGUCCUGCAUUGAACAUGAGCAUCCACAGUUGCCAAGAAAGGUCGGCCUAGAAUAAUAGGGAUGUGCUUCCUUGAAUCAUGUAUUAGUUGAGUGUCAAUUACAAUGAAAUCAACAGGAAAAUAAAACUUGUCUACCUGGAUAAGCACGUCCUCCACAAUACCACGAGGUAUUUUCGUAGACCGAUCUGCAAGCUGUAACACCACUGGAGUUGGGUGUAAUUCUCCCAGUCCAAGUUUCACGAAUACAGAGUAAGGCAACAGAUUUACACUAGCUCCUAAAUCCAACAAAGCAUUCUCAAUUGUGUGGUUCCCUAUACUACAUGAGAUAGUGGGGGAGCCUGGGUCUUUGCAUUUUAAAGGAAUUUUAUGUUGGAGUAUAGAACUAACGUUUUCUGUUAAAAAUGUCUUCUUUUGAACAUGCAUAUUUCUCUUUUUAGUACAAAGGUCUUUAAGAAACUUGGCAUAAGAUGGAACUUGUUUAAUAGCAUCAAGCAAAGGGAUGUUGACACUUACCUGUUUGAAGAUUUCGAGAAUCUCACCUGUGGAUUUUCCUUUCUUUCCUUUCGCUAACCUCUGAGGAAAUAGAGCUUUGGGAACGUAUUCUCGUGGGUUGGUUUCUUCUUUUUCCUCCGGUGGUGAGUCUUCAACACUCACAGGUACAAUUUGAUUUUCUUUUGUCACCGGCAUCUCCUUUUUGUUGUCGACUUCUUUUCCUUUUCGCAAGGUCAUUACUGCUUUGACCUCUCCAUGCUGCUGUGGUGAACUUGUACUUGCUUCAUGUACUCCUUUAGGGUUAGUCACUGGUUGACUUGGAAAUUUACCUUUCUCAACAGUCAUUGCCAAGGUCUGAACUGAAGAAGCGAGUUGUCCCACCAUCUUCUCAAGGCUUGAAACUGAUUGGGCUUGUGAGUUGAAGCCUGCUCUCAACUCAUUUCGUAGUCCAUCAAUGGUGCGGUUCUGUUGCUCAAUCGUGGAGUGAGUAAGAUUCUUGAGAUUCUGGAAUGAAUCCUCCCAUGGUCUGGGUUGAGAGUAAUUCUGGUUCUGAUUGUAUGGUCUAAAUGGGGGCUGAGAGGCUUGAGGAUUUUAAGGAAUUGGUGGAGCUGGAGCUGCUGGUCCAUUUUGUUGGAAUCCUUGAGACCAUGAAAAAUUGGGGUGGUCUCUCCAUCCAGGGUUAUAUGUGUUGGAGUAAGGGUUGUAAUUCGAUGGUUUUCUCAUUACACCUAUGGCAUUGGCUUGAUCUGAGUAUGAGUCAUGGUCAUGUGGCUCUGUUGAUUUAGCAGUCGAUAACGAUGCUAUUUGUCGAGAGAGACCUUCAACCAUCUCCUUGGCUUCUUUGAUUCCCGAAGUUGACUCGCCAAUGUGAACCUCAUUCACUCCUUUAAUCCUUCUAGUAUUCCUGAGUGAUCGACUCCGUUGUUGGGAAUUGUCCGCUUGUCGCUGGAAAAACUCCCAAAUUUCUGAUGCACUUUUUGACAUUAGCUCUCCUCCACUUGUUGCCAUUAGCCAUUCUUGCACAUUCGGCAAUAAUCCCUCCAAAAAGUAUUGGCAUUGGUGCCAUUUCUCGUACCCAUGAUGUGGACACUUCAAGAGUAGUCCAUUGAAUCGCUCCCAAGUUUCGAAAAACUGCUCGUCCUCUCUUUGUGUAAACUCUGAAAUUUCCCUGCGAAUAGAAUUGGUUUUAUGCACUGGGAAAUAUUUAUUUAGAAAUUUUGUAACCAUUUGUUCCCAUGAUGCAAUGCUAUUAGCAGGCAAAGUAUUUAACCAUGAACGAGCUCUAUCCUUUAAAGAAAAUGGGAAUAAUCUAAGCUUUACAUCAUCAUCUGAAAAAUUCUCAUAUUUAAAAGUUUGACAAAUAGCAUGAAAAUCAUUCAGAUGAUUAUAUGGGUCCUCAUUUUCUAGGCCAUAAAAUGUGGGGAGACAAUUUAGCACACUAGGUUUUAAUUCAAAACUCCUAGCAGCUACAUUUGGGUAUCUUAUACAUGAUGUGCUCAAAUUAGCUAAGGGACUAAAAUAAUCCUUAAAUGGCCUCUCCUGUGGUGCUUGUAAAUCCAUUCCAAAUUUAUUAAUGUGCUUUUGUGUGCGAAGUAUUUUCUCAAGUUCAAGGUCUAUAGGUUCAAGAUUAGGUAAUAAUGACCUACGACCAUGCAUGCAAAACAAAUAAAAUAAAAAUAAAGAUGGGAACAAAACAAAUAAAAAUAAAGAAGAGGGAGAAAUUACGAUACUAACCUUAUUGCGCUAUUACAACCUUACUAUAAAAAUACACAAAAAUAAAUAUGUGAAAUAAAUUAACUAAAAAUUAAAUUAAUAAGAUAAACAAAAAUUACAAAGAAAAAUAAAUUAAAAAUUCAAUUACAGAAUUUUAAAGAAGAGAAAAAGAAAAGAAAUACUAACCUUUAAAUGUAGAUUCACUUUUUUUUUAAUAACAAAAAAAUUACACAAACAAUUAAAAGAAAUUAAUCACAAAAAUUAAUUCUACGAAUUAAAAUAACUUACCUCCCCGGCAACGGCACCAAAAAACUUGUUGUGCAAAUUUUAAUGUACUCGCAAGUGCACGAAUCUAUUGUAGUAUAGAUCAAUGGUGACGAGUGUCGAUCCCACGAGGAGGUGGAUUUUAAUUGUGUAUAGAAUUAAUUUUGUAAAUGGGGGAUUGAAUUUGUGGUGGAAAUGAUUUGGAAUAUGCUAAAACUUAAAUUAAAAUGGCGAGAAUAAAUUCUAAAAUUGGAAUUGAAAUGGCGAGAAUAAAUUGAAGAGAAUUCUAUUGAAAUGGUGUACUUGGGUAUCUGGAUCCGUAUCAACAUGCAUCAUGGGCUAAAUAUUCCUUAUUAAUACCAAUUAAAUCAUGAGGGGGGAAUCCACACCUCAUGAACCACGCUCUAAUCAAUAUGGUGCUAAGGGCUUAUCGUGCCAAAUAAUAAUAACCUUAUACUAGAGAGCCGGUGUAACCAAGGCGGUAUCUAGACAAGAUCAGUAUUAUUUGUCGACGAUAAGUCAAAUCAUCCACAAAAAUUAGAGGGGCAGAGAAAGUAAAUUUACCAAAUCAAGCCCAUGACACAUGUUGAGACUUCACCUUCAACCCAAGCUUGAAAGAAAAUUAGCCACUCAUAAUUGAACUAGGGGCAAAAUGGAAAUUUAUUAAAAUACGAAGAAAAUACAAGAUGGAGAGGGAAUUACAGAAAAUGGAUCCCAAAAAUGGAUUCAGAGAUAUCAAAUUAGGGGGGGAGGCCCCCUUUUUAUAGAUACAUGGAGUAAAUCAUGGCCAUCGGAUUAAAAACAGUUUAGACGCUCAGGAUUGCGCCACGUCAUCAGUCAACAGUCCACGGUUUGACCACGCGGAUGAACAGUAACACGGUUUGACCUGGAUGAACAGUACGCGGUUUGGUUGAAAAUAAUCCUGUCUGAUGCAUGCACCGUACGCGAGAUUUUUCGUCCACUGAUAUGCUGCCACGUCACCAUCAACAGUACAUAAGAAUUUUAGUCCAACAGGAUCGUGACACCUCAUCAGUCAAUGCCACAUCAUCGGUCAAUGCCACGUCAUCGAUCCGUCUAUGUGAACAGUGUCGUGAAUAGUAACGUAGAUAGUACCGUAUACGUGAAUAGUACUGUACACGUGAAUAGUGCCAUUUUUCCUUUUAUGCUCCUCCUAAGGUUUUCGACCAUCCUGAGUUCAAAAGUGAUGUUCGUUUUGCCGUCUGAUCUCUCCUUUAUUGUGAAAUGACUAUACUGCCCCUAAAAUACAUAAAAUACUUAAUUAAAAUAACACACACGUAAUUACAUCACAAGAAAGUUAAAUACAUAAAAGUAAGGGUUGUUAGUAAGACUUGAAAUGUAAAAUGAAGGUUUUCUCCUUUAUAAAUAUGCAUUUUCUAACACUCAACACACUCCCCAACCAGCUUAUUGCUAGUCCCUAGUGGUGAGUAUUCCCGCCUGUCACGCGGGUGACCCGGGUUCGAUCCCCGGCAACGGCGCCAAAAACUUGUUGUGCAAAUUUUAAUGUACUCGCAAGUGCACGAAUCUAUUGUAGUAUAGAUCAAUGGUGACGAGUGUCGAUCCCACGAGGAGGUGGAUUUUAAUUGUGUAUAGAAUUAAUUUUGUAAAUGGGGGAUUGAAUUUGUGGUGGAAAUGAUUUGGAAUAUGCUAAAACUUAAAUUAAAAUAGCGAGAAUAAAUUCUAAAAUUGGAAUUGAAAUGACGAGAAUAAAUUGAAGAGAAUUAUAUUGAAAUGAUGUACUUGGGUAUCUGGAUCCGUAUCAACAUGCAUCAUGGGCUAAAUAUUCCUUAUUAAUACCAAUUAAAUCAUGAGGGGGGAAUCCACACCUCAUGAACCACGCUCUAAUCAAUAUGGUGCUAAGGGCUUAUCGUGCCAAAUAAUAAUAACCUUAUACUAGAGAGCCGGUGUAACCAAGGCGGUAUUUAGACAAGAUCAGUAUUAUUUGUCGACGAUAAGUCAAAUCAUCCACAAAAAUUAGAGGGGCAGAGAAAGUAAAUUUACCAAAUCAAGCCCAUGACACAUGUUGAGACUUCACCUUCAACCCAAGCUUGAAAGAAAAUUAGCCACUCAUAAUUGAACUAGGGGCAAAAUGGAAAUUUAUUAAAAUACGAAGAAAAUACAAGAUGGAGAGGGAAUUACAUAAAAUGGAUCCCAAAAAUGGAUUCAGAGAUAUCAAAUUAGGGGGGGAGGCCCCCUUUUUAUAGAUACAUGGAGUAAAUCAUGGCCAUCGGAUUAAAAACAGUUUAGACGCUCAGGAUUGCGCCACGUCAUCAGUCAACAGUCCACGGUUUGACCACGCGGAUGAACAGUAACACGGUUUGACCUGGAUGAACAGUACGCGGUUUGGUUGAAAAUAAUCCUGUCUGAUGCAUGCACCGUACGCGAGAUUUUUCGUCCACUGAUAUGCUGCCACGUCACCAUCAACAGUACAUAAGAAUUUUAGUCCAACAGGAUCGUGACACCUCAUCAGUCAAUGCCACAUCAUCGGUCAAUGCCACGUCAUCGAUCCGUCUAUGUGAACAGUGUCGUGAAUAGUAACGUAGAUAGUACCGUAUACGUGAAUAGUACUGUACACGUGAAUAGUGCCAUUUUUCCUUUUAUGCUCCUCCUAAGGUUUUCGACCAUCCUGAGUUCAAAAGUGAUGUUCGUUUUGCCGUCUGAUCUCUCCUUUAUUGUGAAAUGACUAUACUGCCCCUAAAAUACAUAAAAUACUUAAUUAAAAUAACACACACGUAAUUACAUCACAAGAAGGUUAAAUACAUAAAAGUAAGGGUUGUUAGUAAGACUUGAAAUGUAAAAUGAAGGUUUUCUCCUUUAUAAAUAUGCAUUUUCUAACACUCAACACACUCCCCAACCAGCUUAUUGCUAGUCCCUAGUGGUGAGUAUUCCCGCCUGUCACGCGGGUGACCCGGGUUCGAUCCCCGGCAACGGCGCCAAAAACUUGUUGUGCAAAUUUUAAUGUACUCGCAAGUGCACGAAUCUAUUGUAGUAUAGAUCAAUGGUGACGAGUGUCGAUCCCACGAGGAGGUGGAUUUUAAUUGUGUAUAGAAUUAAUUUUGUAAAUGGGGGAUUGAAUUUGUGGUGGAAAUGAUUUGGAAUAUGCUAAAACUUAAAUUAAAAUAGCGAGAAUAAAUUCUAAAAUUGGAAUUGAAAUGACGAGAAUAAAUUGAAGAGAAUUAUAUUGAAAUGAUGUACUUGGGUAUCUGGAUCCGUAUCAACAUGCAUCAUGGGCUAAAUAUUCCUUAUUAAUACCAAUUAAAUCAUGAGGGGGGAAUCCACACCUCAUGAACCACGCUCUAAUCAAUAUGGUGCUAAGGGCUUAUCGUGCCAAAUAAUAAUAACCUUAUACUAGAGAGCCGGUGUAACCAAGGCGGUAUCUAGACAAGAUCAGUAUUAUUUGUCGACGAUAAGUCAAAUCAUCCACAAAAAUUAGAGGGGCAGAGAAAGUAAAUUUACCAAAUCAAGCCCAUGACACAUGUUGAGACUUCACCUUCAACCCAAGCUUGAAAGAAAAUUAGCCACUCAUAAUUGAACUAGGGGCAAAAUGGAAAUUUAUUAAAAUACGAAGAAAAUACAAGAUGGAGAGGGAAUUACAGAAAAUGGAUCCCAAAAAUGGAUUCAGAGAUAUCAAAUUAGGGGGGGAGGCCCCCUUUUUAUAGAUACAUGGAGUAAAUCAUGGCCAUCGGAUUAAAAACAGUUUAGACGCUCAGGAUUGCGCCACGUCAUCAGUCAACAGUCCACGGUUUGACCACGCGGAUGAACAGUAACACGGUUUGACCUGGAUGAACAGUACGCGGUUUGGUUGAAAAUAAUCCUGUCUGAUGCAUGCACCGUACGCGAGAUUUUUCGUCCACUGAUAUGCUGCCACGUCACCAUCAACAGUACAUAAGAAUUUUAGUCCAACAGGAUCGUGACACCUCAUCAGUCAAUGCCACAUCAUCGGUCCGUCUAUGUGAACAGUGUCGUGAAUAGUAACGUAGACAGUAUCGUAUACGUGAAUAGUACCGUACAUGUGAAUAGUGCCAUUUUUCCUUUUAUGCUCCUCCUAAGGUUUUCGACCAUCCUGAGUUCAAAAGUAAUGUCCGUUUUGCCGUCUGAUCUCUCCUUUAUUGUGAAAUGACUAUACUGCCCCUAAAAUACAUAAAAUACUUAAUUAAAAUAACACACACGUAAUUAUAUCACAAGAAGGUUAAAUACAUAAAAGUAAGGGUUGUUAGUAAGACUUGAAAUGUAAAAUGACGGUUUUCUCCUUUAUAAAUAUGCAUUUUCUAACACUCAACAAGUGUAAACACAUAGGCAGUAGUAGAUUUUCUUUUAUCAAGGUCUCCUGCAAAAUCUAAAUCCACAUAGCCCCUUACAGUAAACUCUGAUCCUCUUUAAUAUAAUGCAACAUCUGAGGUUCCUCUGAUGUAUCUCAGAAUCCUCUUCAUAACUAUCCAAUGCUCUCCACCAGGAUUCACCAUGUAUCGACUGACUGCUCCACUGCUUGUGCAAUGUCUGGUCUUGUACAAAUCAUAGCGAACAUUAAACUUCCCACUGCUGAUGCAUAUGGUACUCGAGACAUCUCAUUUCUCUCUGCUUCAUUGCUAGGACACAUACUUGAGGAUAAUUUGAAAUUAACAGGAAGUGGGGUAUAAAUUGGCUUACAAUCUUGCAUGUUGAAGCCCCGCAAGAUUUUCUUCAAGUAGUUCUUUUGAGAAAGCCAAAUCUUCCUGUUAUUUCUGUCUCGGUGAAUUUGCAUCCCUAGAAUCUUGUUUGCUGGUCCCAAGUUCUUCAUUUCAAACUCCCUAGCCAACUGUGCCUUCAAUUCUUGGAUUCGAUCUUUGUUGGAGCCUGCUACUAACAUAUCAUCCAUAUACAACAGUAAAAUAAUGAAAUCAUUAUCUUUAAACCUUUUGUAAUAUGCACAAUAGUCUUAACUGAGUCUAUUGUAUCCAAGGCUCACAAUGAAUGAAUCAAAUCUCUUAUACCAACAUCUCGGCGCCUGUUUGAGACCGUAUAGAGAUUUGUUCAACCUGCAAACCAAGUUUUCUUUUCCUGUUUCUGCAAAACCUCCUGGUUGGAGCAUAUAUAUUUCUUCUUCAAGUUCUCCAUGAAGAAAUGCAGUUUUCACAUCUAACUGCUCUAAAUCUAGGUCAAAUGUAGCACACAUUGCCAAGACUAUUCUGACUGUUGUGAGUCGAAUUAUCGGAGAAAAUAUCUCGUUGAAGUCAAUACCUUCUUUCUGAGCAUAUUCUUUCACCACCAAUCUUGUAUGAUAUCGCUCCACUUGGUCAUUGCCAUCACGCUUGAUCUUGUAGACCCAUUUAUUUUCAAUAACUUUUCUUCCACGUGGUAGUGGUAUAAGUUCCCAUGUCUUGUUCUUGUGUAGAGGCUCAAUUUCUUCCUGCAUUACUGUCAUCCAUAAAGCAACAUCUGUGUUGCUUAAAGUUUCAUGGAAAGUUGAUGGCUCUCCAUCCUCUGUUAGAAGACAGUAUGCAACAUUGAUCUAUGUGACAUACUCCGAGUGCCAUACUGGCGGUCGUCUCUCACGAGUUGACCGAUGAAAUUCUAGAGCCUCGGACUCGACUGGUUCUUAUUCCUUGUGCUCUAGUGCUGCUUCAGAAGAAUCUGAAUCUUCUGGAUGAUUUUCCACAUAUACCGGCACAGUCUCUGACUUUUCUUUUACAGUGCUAUCAUCCUCAUCUUUUCUUUGCAGUUGAUCUUCUACAAAGAUAACAUCUCUGCUGAUGACGAUCUUGUAGGCAGUGAGGUCCCACAGACGAUACCCUUUACUCUAUCAGCAUAUCCUAAGAAGAUAUACCUCCUAGAUUUUGGAUCCAGCUUUGCUCUUUCUUGGGCAUUGUACAUCACGUACACAUGACAUCCAAAUGCAUGUAGGUAGGAGUAAUCAGCUGGCUUUUCAGUCUACAUCUCCAUCGCUGUCUUCAGCCCAAUAGUUGUAGAUGGGUAGACCAGCAGUCCUCAACAUAGCUCUUAUUCGUUCUGUAAGAAUCCUAUUCAUCCGCUCUGCCACUCCAUUUUGUUGAGGAGUGUAUGCUACCGUGAACUGCCUCUGAAUACCUUCUUGCCUACAAAAAGCAAGAAACUCGCCGCUGUAUAGUCUCCACCAUUAUCCGUCCUCAAGCACUUGAUCUUUUUUCCGGAUUCAAGUUCCAUCCGCACUUUGUAUUCUUUAAACACUAGAAAUACAUAUGACUUUUUCCUAAUUAGAUACACCCAACAUCUCCUAGAAUAAUUAUCAAUGAAAGUCACCAUGUACUUUGCACCUCUCAUAGUCAUAUCCGGCGAUUCCCAAACAUCAUAAUGAAUCAAGUCUAGAAUGCGUUUACUUCUAGCAAUAGAUCUACUGAACUUUAAUAUAUGAUGCUUACUUGUAACACAAUGCUCGCAAAAUGGUAAACGUACCGAUUUAAGUCCUGGAAGCAAUUUUCGCUCAGAGAAAAUCUUCAAAUCUUGUUAUGACAUGUGGUCAAGUUUGAGAUGCCACAUCAUCGUUGACUCUUCUCCAUUUGAUGCAACACAUGCAUCAGCCUCCUGUAAUGUUUCUCCUUUAAGCAUGAAUAGAUUAACACCGAUUUUUUCUGCCUUCAUCAAUACAAGCGCGCCUUUAACGAUCUUCAUAAUUUUAUUCUCCACAUGAGUUUUGUACCCAUGACUAUCCAUUUGUCUCAAAGACAAUAGAUUUUUCUUC